rnacentral:rRNA from 1 species
UACGUAGGGCGCAAGCGUUGUCCGGAAUUAUUGGGCGUAAAGAGCUCGUAGGCGGCUUGUCACGUCGGGUGUGAAAGCCCGGGGCUUAACCCCGGGUCUGCAUUCGAUAAGGGCUGGCUAGAGUGUGGUAGGGGAGAUCGGAAUUCCUGGUGGAGCGGUGAAAUGCGCAGAUAUCAGGAGGAACACCGGUGGCGAAGGCGGAUCUCUGGGCCAUUACUGACGCUGAGGCGCGAAAGCGUGGGGAGCAAACAGG